rnacentral:rRNA from 1 species
GACGAACGCUGGCGGCGUGCUUAACACAUGCAAGUCGAACGGAAAGGCCCCUUUGGGGGUACUCGAGUGGCGAACGGGUGAGUAACACGUGAGUAACCUGCCCUUGACUUCGGGAUAACUUCAGGAAACUGGGGCUAAUACCGGAUAGGAAUCCUUGCUGCAUGGUGGGGGUUGGAAAGCUUCGGCGGUUUUGGAUGGACUCGCGGCUUAUCAGCUUGUUGGUGGGGUAGUGGCUUACCAAGGCUUUGACGGGUAGCCGGCCUGAGAGGGCGACCGGCCACAUUGGGACUGAGAUACGGCCCAGACGCCGACGGGAGGCAGCAGUGGGGAAGAUUGCACAAUGGGCGGAAGCCGGAUGCAGCAACGCUGCGUGCGGGAUGACGGCCUUCGGGUUGUAAACCGCUUUCAGCAGGGGCGAAGCUUGUGGUGACGGUACCUGAAGAAGAAGCACCGGCUAACUACGUG